rnacentral:rRNA from 1 species
GACGUAGGGGGCCAGCGUUGUUCGGAAUUACUGGGUGUAAAGGGCUCGUAGGCGGUGUGGCAAGUCGGGAGUGAAAUCUCUGGGCUCAACUCAGAGACUGCUUCCGAAACUGCUGUGCUGGAGUGUGGGAGAGGCGCGUGGAAUUGCAGGUGUAGCGGUGAAAUGCGUAGAUAUCUGCAGGAACACCCGUGGCGAAAGCGGCGCGCUGGACCACUACUGACGCUGAGGAACGAAAGCUAGGGGAGCAAACAGG